rnacentral:rRNA from 1 species
UACGAAGGGGGCUAGCGUUGUUCGGAAUCACUGGGCGUAAAGCGCACGUAGGCGGAUCUUUAAGUCAGGGGUGAAAUCCCGAGGCUCAACCUCGGAACUGCCUUUGAUACUGGGGAUCUUGAGUCCGGAAGAGGUGAGUGGAACUCCUAGUGUAGAGGUGGAAUUCGUAGAUAUUAGGAAGAACACCCGUGGCGAAGGCGGCUCUCUGGGACGGUACUGACGCUGAGGUGCGAAAGCGUGGGGAGCAAACAGG